rnacentral:rRNA from 1 species
CACGUAGGGCGCAAGCGUUGUCCGGAAUUAUUGGGCGUAAAGAGCUCGUAGGCGGACUGUUGCGUCUGCUGUGAAAAGCUAGGGCUUAACCCUGGCCUUGCAGUGGAUACGGGCAGACUAGAGGUAGGUAGGGGAGAAUGGAAUUCCCGGUGUAGCGGUGAAAUGCGCAGAUAUCGGGAGGAACACCGGUGGCGAAGGCAGCUCGCUGGGACGGUACUGACGCUGAGACGCGAAAGCGUGGGGAGCAAACAG